rnacentral:rRNA from 1 species
UGGGGGAUAUUGCACAAUGGGCGAAAGCCUGAUGCAGCGACGCCGCGUGGGGGAUGAAGGCCUUCGGGUUGUAAACUUCUUUUGCUCUGAACACGGCAUGCCUUUGGGGUGUGUUGAGUGUAGGGGUUGAUUAGCGCCGGCUAACUACGUGCCAGCAGCCGCGGUAAUACGUAGGGCGCGAGCGUUGUCCGGAAUUAUUGGGCGUAAAGGGCUUGUAGGUGGCUGGUUGCGUCUGUCGUGAAAGCUCAUGGCUUAACUGUGGGUUUGCGGUGGGUACGGGCUGGCUUGAGUGCAGUAGGGGAGGCUGGAAUUCCUGGUGUAGCGGUGGAAUGCGCAGAUAUCAGGAGGAAUACCGGUGGCGAAGGCGGGUCUCUGGGCUGUUACUGACGCUGAGGAGCGAAAGCGUGGGGAGCGAACAGG